rnacentral:rRNA from 1 species
GACGAACGCUGGCGGCGUGCCUAAUACAUGCAAGUCGAACGGUCUUUUCUAUGGAAGCUUGCUUCCACUGAGAAGAUAGUGGCGAACGGGUGAGUAACACGUGGGUAACCUGCCCAUAAGAGGGGGAUAACAUCCGGAAACGGGUGCUAAUACCGCAUAGUUUUCUUGAUCGCAUGAUCGGGAAAGGAAAGACGGCCUUUGUGCUGUCGCUUAUGGAUGGACCCGCGGCGUAUUAGUUAGUUGGUGAGGUAACGGCUCACCAAGACGAUGAUACGUAGCCGACCUGAGAGGGUGAUCGGCCACAUUGGGACUGAGACACGGCCCAAACUCCUACGGGAGGCAGCAGUAGGGAAUCUUCCGCAAUGGACGAAAGUCUGACGGAGCAACGCCGCGUGAGUGAAGAAGGUUUUCGGAUCGUAAAACUCUGUUGUCAGAGAAGAACAAGUUGGAGAGUAACUGCUCCAGCCUUGACGGUAUCUGACCAGAAAACCACGGCUAACUACGUGCCAGCCGCCGCAGUAAUAC